rnacentral:rRNA from 1 species
AACGAACGCUGGCGGCAUGCCUAACACAUGCAAGUCGAACGAGACCUUCGGGUCUAGUGGCGCACGGGUGCGUAACGCGUGGGAACCUGCCCUUAGGUUCGGAAUAACUCCCCGAAAGGGGUGCUAAUACCGGAUAAUGUCUUCGGACCAAAGAUUUAUCGCCUUUGGAUGGGCCCGCGUUGGAUUAGCUAGUUGGUAGGGUAAAAGCCUACCAAGGCGACGACCCAUAGCUGGUCUGAGAGGAUGAUCAGCCACACUGGGACUGAGACCCGGCCCAGACUCCUACGGGAGGCAGCAGUGGGGAAUAUUGGACAAUGGGCGAAAGCCUGAUCCAGCAAUGCCGCGUGAGUGAUGAAGGCCUUAGGGUUGUAAAGCUCUUUUACCCGGGAUGAUAAUGACAGUACCGGGAGAAUAAGCACCGGCUAACUCCGUG